UACGUAGGGUCCGAGCGUUGUCCGGAUUUAUUGGGCGUAAAGAGCUCGUAGGCGGUUCCGUAAGUCAGAUGUGAAAACUCAGGGCUCAACCCGGAGACGCCAUCUGAUACUGCGGUGACUGGAGUCUGGUAGGGGAACACGGAAUUCCUGGUGUAGCGGUGAAAUUCGUAGAUAUUAGGAAGAACACCGGUGGCGAAGGCGGCCCACUGGCUCGAUACUGACGCUGAGGUGCGAAAGCGUGGGGAGCAAACAGG
rnacentral:rRNA from 1 species